AUUUCUAGUUAUCGUUAAUAAGGUAUCUAAUUCUGAAUACAUAGGGGUUAGAAGCGAACCCGGGGAACUGAAACAUCUAAGUACCCGGAGGAAAGGACAUCAAACGAGACUCCGCUAGUAGUGGCGAGCGAACGCGGACCAGGCCAGUGGCUUGGAUAAGAAAAGUGGAAGCAUCUGGAAAGUUGCGCUGAAGUGGGUGAUAGCCCCGUACACGUAAAUCUUAUUCAAGUCCUUGAGUAGGGCGGGACACGUGAAAUCCUGUCUGAACAUGGGUAGACCACUAUCCAAGCCUAAGUACUCGUGCAUGACCGAUAGUGAACCAGUACCGUGAGGGAAAGGUGAAAAGCACCCCGACAAGGGGAGUGAAAGAGAUCCUGAAACCGAAUGCCUACAAACAGUUGGAGCCCAAGAUUAGUUCUGGGUGACAGCGUACCUUUUGUAUAAUGGGUCAGCGACUUAGUGUAACGAGCAAGCUUAAGCCGGUAGGUGUAGGCGUAGCGAAAGCGAGUCUUAAUAGGGCGUUUAGUUCGUUGCAUUAGACCCGAAACCAAGUGAUCUAGCCAUGAGCAGGUUGAAGGUACAGUAACAUGUACUGGAGGACCGAACCCGUAUCUGUUGCAAUAGAUUGGGAUGACUUGUGGCUAGGGGUGAAAGGCCAAUCAAACUUGGAGAUAGCUGGUUCUCCGCGAAAUCUAUUUAGGUAGAGCGUCCAGCGAAUACCCUCGGGGGUAGAGCACUGAAUGGGCUAUGGGGACUCACCGUCUUACUGAUCCUAAUCAAACUCCGAAUACCGAGGAGUACUACUGGGCAGACACACGGCGGGUGCUAACGUCCGUCGUGGAGAGGGCAACAACCCUGACCACCAUCUAAGGUCCCUAAGUUAUGGCUAAGUGGGAAAGGAUGUGAGGAUCCCAAAACAACCAGGAUGUUGGCUUAGAAGCAGCCAUCAUUUAAAGAAAGCGUAACAGCUCACUGGUCUAAAUAAGGGUCUUUGCGCCGAAAAUGUACCGGGGCUCAAGCCAUACACCGAAGCUGUGGAUGCACUUAAUGUGCGUGGUAGCGGAGCGUUCUGUAAGUCUGUGAAGGGAGACCCGUGAGGGCUCCUGGAGAUAUCAGAAGUGAGAAUGCUGACAUGAGUAACGAUAAAGAGUGUGAGAGACACUCUCGCCGAAAGUCCAAGGGUUCCUGCUUAAAGUUAAUCUGAGCAGGGUUAGCCGGCCCCUAAGGCGAGGCAGAAAUGCGUAGUCGAUGGGAACCACGUUAAUAUUCGUGGGCCUGCAGGUAGUGACGGAUCGUGUGUAUUGUCAGGUCUUAUUGGAUUGAUCUGGCAGUGAAGCGGUUCCAGGAAAUAGCUCCUGCAUAUAGACCGUACCCUAAACCGACACUGGUGGACUGGUAGAGAAUACCAAGGCGCUUGAGAGAACUGCGUUGAAGGAACUCGGCAAAAUGCACGCGUAACUUCGGAAGAAGCGUGACCCUUGUUUGCGCAAGCAGAUGAGGGUGGCACAGACCAGGGGGUAGCGACUGUUUACCAAAAACACAGGGCUCUGCGAAGUCGCAAGACGACGUAUAGAGUCUGACGCCUGCCCGGUGCCGGAAGGUUAAGAGGAGAGGUGCAAGCCUUGAAUUGAAGCCCCGGUAAACGGCGGCCGUAACUAUAACGGUCCUAAGGUAGCGAAAUUCCUUGUCGGGUAAGUUCCGACCUGCACGAAUGGCGUAACGACUUCCCCGCUGUCUCCAACGCAGACUCAGUGAAAUUGAAUUCCCCGUGAAGAUGCGGGGUUCCUGCGGUUAGACGGAAAGACCCCGUGCACCUUUACUAUAGCUUUACACUGGCAUUCGUGACGUUAUGUGUAGGAUAGGUGGUAGACUUUGAAGCAGGGACGCCAGUUCUUGUGGAGUCAUCCUUGAAAUACCACCCUUAAUCUUAUGGAUGUCUAACUGCGGCCCGUUAUCCGGGUCCAGGACCGUGUAUGGUGGGUAGUUUGACUGGGGCGGUCGCCUCCUAAAGAGUAACGGAGGCGCGCGAUGGUAGGCUCAGAACGGUCGGAAAUCGUUCGCUGAGUGCAAUGGCAUAAGCCUGCCUGACUGCAAGACUGACAAGUCGAGCAGAGACGAAAGUCGGUCAUAGUGAUCCGGUGGUCCCGAGUGGAAGGGCCAUCGCUCAACGGAUAAAAGGUACGCCGGGGAUAACAGGCUGAUGACCCCCAAGAGUCCAUAUCGACGGGGUUGUUUGGCACCUCGAUGUCGACUCAUCGCAUCCUGGGGCUGGAGCAGGUCCCAAGGGUAUGGCUGUUCGCCAUUUAAAGCGGUACGUGAGUUGGGUUCAGAACGUCGUGAGACAGUUCGGUCCCUAUCUGCCGUGGGUGUAGGAAUAUUGAAAGGAUCUGUCCCUAGUACGAGAGGACCGGGAUGGACGUAUCUCUGGUGGAUCUGUUGUCGCGCCAGCGGCAUAGCAGAGUAGCUAUAUACGGACUAGAUAACCGCUGAAGGCAUCUAAGCGGGAAACUAACCUUAAAACGAGUAUUCCCUAUCAGAGCCGUGGAAGACUACCACGUUGAUAGGCCGGGUGUGGAAGUGCGGCAACGCAUGCAGCUUACCGGUACUAAUAGCUCGAUCGACUUGAUCAU
rnacentral:rRNA from 1 species